rnacentral:rRNA from 1 species
UACGGGAGGCAGCAGUGGGGAAUAUUGCACAAUGGGCGCAAGCCUGAUGCAGCCAUGCCGCGUGUAUGAAAAAGGCCUUCGGGUUGUAAAGUACUUUCAGUCGUGAGGAAGGUGUUAAGGUUAAUAACCUUAGCAAUUGACGUUAGCGACAGAAGAAGCACCGGCUAACUCCGUGCCAGCAGCCGCGGUAAUACGGAGGGUGCGAGCGUUAAUCGGAAUUACUGGGCGUAAAGGGCACGCAGGCGGUUAAUUAAGUUGGAUGUGAAAUCCCCGGGCUUAACCUGGGAAUGGCAUUCAAGACUGGUUAGCUAGAGUCUUGUAGAGGGGGUAGAAUUCCAUGUGUAGCGGUGAAAUGCGUAGAGAUGUGGAGGAAUACCGGUGGCGAAGGCGGCCCCUGGACAAAGACUGACGCUCAUGUGCGAAAGCGUGGGGAGCAAACAGGGAUUAGAUAC